rnacentral:rRNA from 1 species
UACGUAGGGGGCAAGCGUUGUCCGGAAUCAUUGGGCGUAAAGCGCGUGUAGGCGGUCCGGUAAGUCCGCUGUGAAAGUCGGGGGCUCAACCCUCGGAUGCCGGUGGAUACUGUCGGGCUUGAGUACGGAAGAGGCGAGUGGAAUUCCUGGUGUAGUGGUGAAAUGCGUAGAUAUCGAGAGGAACACCUGCGGCGAAGGCGGGUUGCUGGGCUGACACUGACGCUGAGGCGCGAAAGCUAGGGGAGCGAACGGG